rnacentral:rRNA from 1 species
AGUGAACGCUGGCGGUAGGCCUAACACAUGCAAGUCGAACGGCAGCACAGUAAGAGCUUGCUCUUACGGGUGGCGAGUGGCGGACGGGUGGGGAAUACAUCGGAAUCUACUUUUUCGUGGGGAUAACGUAGGGAAACUUACGCUAAUACCGCAUACGACCUACGGGUGAAAGCAGGGGAUCUUCGGACCUUGCGCGAUUGAAUGAGCCGAUGUCGGAUUAGCUAGUUGGCGGGGUAAAGGCCCACCAAGGCGACGAUCCGUAGCUGGUCUGAGAGGAUGAUCAGCCACACUGGAACUGAGACACGGUCCAGACUCCUACGGGAGGCAGCAGUGGGGAAUAUUGGACAAUGGGCGCAAGCCUGAUCCAGCCAUACCGCGUGGGUGAAGAAGGCCUUCGGGUUGUAAAGCCCUUUUGUUGGGAGAGAAAAGCAGCAGGUUAAUACCCCGCUGUUCUGACGGUACCCAAAGAAUAAGCACCGGCUAACUUCGUG